rnacentral:rRNA from 1 species
GACGAACGCUGGCGGCGUGCUUAACACAUGCAAGUCGAACGAAGUGGCGAACGGGUGAGUAACGCGUAAUCAACCUGCCCUUCAGAGGGGGACAACAGUUGGAAACGACUGCUAAUACCGCAUACGGAAGGAGGGGAUUGCGUCGGAUUGGCUAGUUGGGGGGGUAACGGCCCACCAAGGCGAUGAUCAGUAGGCGGUCUGAGAGGGUGAACGGCCACAUUGGGACUGGGACACGGCCCAGACUUCUACGGGAGGCAGCAGGUGGGAAUCUUCCGCAAUGGACGAAAGUCUGACGGAGCAACGCCGCGUGAGUGAUGACGGCCUUCGGGUUGUAAAGCUCUGUUAAUCGGGACGCGGUACCGGAAUAGAAAGCCACGGCUAACUACGUGCCAGCAGUCGCGGUAAUAC